UUGACCUCAAAUCAGGUAGGAUUACCCGCUGAACUUAAGCAUAUCAAUAAGCGGAGGAAAAGAAACUAACAAGGAUUCCCCUAGUAACUGCGAGUGAAGCGGGAAAAGCUCAAAUUUAAAAUCUGGUAGCUUUUGCUGCCCGAGUUGUAAUCUAGAGAAGCAUUAUCGGUGCUGGCGCGUGUACAAGUGUCCUGGAAUGGACCAUCAUAGAGGGUGAGAAUCCCGUCUUUGACACGACUGCCUAGUGCUUUGUGAUGUGCUCUCAAAGAGUCGAGUUGUUUGGGAAUGCAGCUCUAAAUGGGUGGUAAAUUCCAUCUAAAGCUAAAUAUUGGCGAGAGACCGAUAGCGAACAAGUACCGUGAGGGAAAAGAUGAAAAGAACUUUGGAAAGAGAGUUAAACAGUACGUGAAAAUUGCUGAAAGGGAAACGCUUGAAGUCAGUCGCGUUGGCUGGGGAUCAACCUUGCUUUUUUGCUUGGCUUACUUCCCAGUUGACGGGUCAGCAUCAGUUUUGACCAGUGGAUAAAGGUUAGGGGAAUGUGGCACCUCUGGGUGUGUUAUAGCCCCUGGUCAUAUACAUUGGUUGGGACUGAGGAACUCAGCACUUGUGUGCUUAGGAUGCUGGCAUAAUGGCUUUAAGCGACCCGUCUUGAAACACGGACCAAGGAGUCUAACAUGCCCGCGAGUGUUUGGGUGGAAAACCCGAGCGCGUAAUGAAAGUGAAAGUUGAGAUCCCUGUCGUGGGG
rnacentral:rRNA from 1 species